AGAGUUUGAUCCUGGCUCAGGAUGAACGCUGGCGGCGUGCCUAAUACAUGCAAGUCGAGCGAACGGACGAGAAGCUUGCUUCUCUGAUGUUAGCGGCGGACGGGUGAGUAACACGUGGAUAACCUACCUAUAAGACUGGGAUAACUUCGGGAAACCGGAGCUAAUACCGGAUAAUAUUUUGAACCGCAUGGUUCAAAAGUAAAAGACGGUCUUGCUGUCACUUAUAGAUGGAUCCGCGCUGCAUUAGCUAGUUGGUAAGGUAACAGCUUACCAAGGCAACGAUGCAUAGCCGACCUGAGAGGGUGAUCGGCCACACUGGAACUGAGACACGGUCCAGACUCCUACGGGAGGCAGCAGUAGGGAAUCUUCCGCAAUGGGCGAAAGCCUGACGGAGCAACGCCGCGUGAGUGAUGAAGGUCUUCGGAUCGUAAAACUCUGUUAUUAGGGAAGAACAUAUGUGUAAGUAACUGUGCACAUCUUGACGGUACCUAAUCAGAAAGCCACGGCUAACUACGUGCCAGCAGCCGCGGUAAUACGUAGGUGGCAAGCGUUAUCCGGAAUUAUUGGGCGUAAAGCGCGCGUAGGCGGUUUUUUAAGUCUGAUGUGAAAGCCCACGGCUCAACCGUGGAGGGUCAUUGGAAACUGGAAAACUUGAGUGCAGAAGAGGAAAGUGGAAUUCCAUGUGUAGCGGUGAAAUGCGCAGAGAUAUGGAGGAACACCAGUGGCGAAGGCGACUUUCUGGUCUGUAACUGACGCUGAUGUGCGAAAGCGUGGGGAUCAAACAGGAUUAGAUACCCUGGUAGUCCACGCCGUAAACGAUGAGUGCUAAGUGUUAGGGGGUUUCCGCCCCUUAGUGCUGCAGCUAACGCAUUAAGCACUCCGCCUGGGGAGUACGACCGCAAGGUUGAAACUCAAAGGAAUUGACGGGGACCCGCACAAGCGGUGGAGCAUGUGGUUUAAUUCGAAGCAACGCGAAGAACCUUACCAAAUCUUGACAUCCUUUGACAACUCUAGAGAUAGAGCCUUCCCCUUCGGGGGACAAAGUGACAGGUGGUGCAUGGUUGUCGUCAGCUCGUGUCGUGAGAUGUUGGGUUAAGUCCCGCAACGAGCGCAACCCUUAAGCUUAGUUGCCAUCAUUAAGUUGGGCACUCUAAGUUGACUGCCGGUGACAAACCGGAGGAAGGUGGGGAUGACGUCAAAUCAUCAUGCCCCUUAUGAUUUGGGCUACACACGUGCUACAAUGGACAAUACAAAGGGCAGCGAAACCGCGAGGUCAAGCAAAUCCCAUAAAGUUGUUCUCAGUUCGGAUUGUAGUCUGCAACUCGACUACAUGAAGCUGGAAUCGCUAGUAAUCGUAGAUCAGCAUGCUACGGUGAAUACGUUCCCGGGUCUUGUACACACCGCCCGUCACACCACGAGAGUUUGUAACACCCGAAGCCGGUGGAGUAACCUUUUAGGAGCUAGCCGUCGAAGGUGGGACAAAUGAUUGGGGUGAAGUCGUAACAAGGUAGCCGUAUCGGAAGGUGCGGCUGGAUCACCU
rnacentral:rRNA from 1 species